rnacentral:rRNA from 1 species
GAUGAACGCUAGCGGCAGGCUUAACACAUGCAAGUCGAGGGGUAUUGGUUUUCGGACCAAGAGACCGGCGCACGGGUGCGUAACGCGUAUGCAAUCUACCUUUUGCAGAGGGAUAGCCCCAGAGAAAUUUGGAUUAAUACCUCAUAGUAUAGUACUUUGGCAUCAAGGAACUAUUAAAGUCACAACGGCAAAAGAUGAGCAUGCGUCCCAUUAGCUAGUUGGUAAGGUAACGGCUUACCAAGGCUACGAUGGGUAGGGGUCCUGAGAGGGAGAUCCCCCACACUGGUACUGAGACACGGACCAGACUCCUACGGGAGGCAGCAGUGAGGAAUAUUGGACAAUGGGCGCAAGCCUGAUCCAGCCAUGCCGCGUGCAGGAUGAACGGUCCUAUGGAUUGUAAACUGCUUUUAUACAGGAAGAAACAUCCGACGUGCCGGAGC